AACUGCACUUACUGUAAGUCACUCUGGAUAAGAGUGUCUGCUAAAUGACAAAAA
rfam:Salmo salar isolate Sally breed double haploid chromosome ssa18, whole genome shotgun sequence.